UACGUAGGCAGCGAGCGUUGUUCGGAAUUACUGGGCGUAAAGAGUGUGUAGGCGGUGUUCCCAGUCUGUUGUGAAAUCUCCCGGCUUAACUGGGAGGGUGCAGCGGAAACUAGAAUGCUAGAGGGUGGGAGAGGUAAGCGGAAUUCCUGGUGUAGCGGUGAAAUGCGUAGAUAUCAGGAGGAACACCUGUGGUGUAGGCAGCUUACUGGACCACUUCUGACGCUGAGACACGAAAGCGUGGGUAGCAAACAGG
rnacentral:rRNA from 1 species